rfam:Metarhizium robertsii ARSEF 23 MAA_Scf_7, whole genome shotgun sequence.
GUCUUCAUGGCGCAGUUGGUUUAGCGCGUUGGUCUCAUACACUGUUGUCUAUGAUCAGAUGAAUAAUCUGGGCCAUCCAAAGGUCGCGAGUUCGAGUCUCGCUGAGGACA